rnacentral:lncRNA from 1 species
ACAGGCUCCUAGGAGGGUCUAGGCUGAGGAAUUCUACCCUUACCCUAUUUUAAUGCUAUUUCUAGUUCUUUGAAUCUUAUUAGGCAAGGUGCUGGUAGUCGAAGGUAUAUACAACGGGACCCUGAGAGUCUUAUAGCUCUUAUUUUAUUUUUAAAAAGUUGAUGGGGCCGGGGGAGUCUAUCUUAGGGGUAGAGCACUUGCUUAGCAUGCUCGAGGCCCUGGGUUCCAUCCCGGAUAGCACACAGGGAAAGAAAGAAAGAGAGGAAGAGAGAGACAGAGAGAGGAAGGAAGGAAGGAAGGAAGGAAGGAAGGAAGGAAGGAAGGAAGAAAGGAAGGAAGGAAGAAGGAAGGAAGGAAGGAAGAGAGAGAGAAAUGGAGGUAUAAUUUGCAUCCAGUAAACCCCGCAGGUCUCCAGGCCCAGCUGCACAUUGCCCCGCCCCCCUGCAUCUGAUUGGCAUCCGGCAAGUGGCCCGAGCCCCUCCUCCCCGGCAGUGCUCCCUUCUGCACGCCCAUCCGCUGCUUUUGCCUGCGCUGUGCUGGAACCGCAUCUAAAUGGAGUCAAACGGUGUUGCUGUUUGGCUCCCCUUGGCUUCCUCUGAUGAGCACGCUCGUGACACGGUCUGCACGGUCGCAUGUGUCGCUUUGGUGUGUACUGUGAGUGGCGUGCCUUGUGCGCAAAGAUCACCCUCGUUUGUCCAGCCGCCCCGGGGGGAGAGCUGCGGAGAGCUCUCUGGUGCGAGUCCUCUGCCUGCCGCGCCUGUGCCCGUGUGUGCGCAGUUCUCAGCUGUGGCGCUGGCACCGUGAGGGGUGCAGAGGGUCCAUGCCAACCUCCGUCCCCCGACGGCAGUAACGUCUGUCUCCUUCUCCCGCCUGCCAAUCAGAAGCCCAGCGCUUGGUGACCGCUGAGGAGUUUAGAAAAGAAAAUGUAAAAAAGAAGAUGGGGCAAAAGCGAUUUCUUUAGGGGAAGAGAAAUGGGAGGAAAUAAAGCCCUGCUCACCCUGUCCUUUGUCUGGGCUGGAGGGUGGCAUCCUGGAUGCCCAGCAGGAAGUGGCACGCUGGGAGGCACCAGGAAGCUCACUACCUAUGGAGCCAGGCCAGCACUUGUAUGGCAGCCGAACUGGGCAGCAAACCCAGAUUCAACUCCGGAAUCCAAGGCCUUGGCCACUACUGCACUGACUCUCCCAGGAUUUGCCAUGAGAGAGAAAGGAGGUGUGAAAUGUGAGGUGUUUGCCACAUACAGUCUACAGACAUUGCAAGCUCCUGUGCA